AACGCACAUUGCGCCCGCCAGUAUUCUGGCGGGCAUGCCUGUUCGAGCGUCAUUUCAACCCUCAGGCCCACCCGGGUCUGGUGCUGGGGCUUCUCUGCGGUGGACACGCCGCAGGCCCUGAAGGACAGUGGCGGGCCUGCUGGACACCCGAGCGUAGUAGUGACCUCUCGCUAAGGGCUGUCCCGGCGGGGACCCGGCCGUAAAACCCCCAACUUCUGAAUGUUGACCUCGAAUCAGGUAGGAAUACCCGCUGAACUUAA
rnacentral:misc_RNA from 1 species